rnacentral:rRNA from 1 species
UACGUAGGGGGCAAGCGUUGUUCGGAUUCAUUGGGCGUAAAGGGUGCGUAGGCGGCGCGGUAAGUCGGGUGUGAAAUCUCGGAGCUUAACUCCGAAACUGCAUUCGAUACUGCCGUGCUUGAGGACUGGAGAGGAGACUGGAAUUUACGGUGUAGCGGUGAAAUGCGUAGAUAUCGUAAGGAAGACCAGUGGCGAAGGCGGGCCUCUGGACAGUUCCUGACGCUGAGGCACGAAGGCCAGGGGAGCAAACGGG